AGCCAAUCAGAAAAAUUAGUCUGGGAUCAUGAGGCUGAAGACUUAGAUGAAGUUAAAAAACAAAAAAAAAUGCCUCCAAACUGUGAAGUGUGGAUACUCAACUCAGUACAGGGUUCAAGGUGUCAGAUGGUUCAAGUUGUCAAAAGAAACCCACCGAAGGGAAGUCUGGACAGUAUGUCAAUUAGGAAGAGACUCCACACCUAUCCCAAGUCCAGCAAGAUAGCUCUUGAGGGGACGUAAAACCAGAUAAUGGCAGACACCAGUUCCUGUCUUGUGUGAACAGCUGCUGGUUUUCUUGACCCGAGUGAUGACAAAUGGUUCUGUGACUGACUGAGCCUGGAAAACAACAUUUCAAAUUCGAAGCCUGGGAUCCUGCAGAAUUCGGGUGUCUAUUUGUAUCUUACCACCCACCUGCCCCUCCCUUGAACCUCUGUACCGACCAUCAAAUUGGGCAAAAGGCAUCACACUCCUACUGGGCAGAGCUGCCGGAGAAGUCAGAGCGCAGGGUGCCCAGUGGCCCACUCCCCUCUGGUGACAGGCUGUUCCUUCCUGGCAUGGGUGAUUGGCGGGAGGCCAGGGAGCUGUGGGGCCAUGAGGCAGGCUUGGCUCCGAGCCUGGCUGCUGUCUGGGCAUGAAACUGGGCUCUGGCCCCAGGAGCAUGGUCCUAACUGUCUGACCCAGAACUGCCUGUGCAGCAACCAUCCCACUUCUCGGGUCCUGGUGGGUCCCAGUCCUCACGCAGGGCAGGUUUAGGAGCAGAGAUGGAUCUGGAAGGAAUGGUAGAAGCCAGUACAGAAUGCUAUGGCAAAAGCCAGUAAUGUCUCCACGCAGAGAGCAGCCUCUGGGGGUGUGCCUAGGCCAGAGGAGAGAAUGGGUGUGUGUCCAGCGAGGGGACAGAACAAGCUUUACUCUGCUUCCUUGCUCUGGGACAGACUAGGGGCCUCAGCCCUUCCAGAGGGCCUCACUCCAUGACCUGCCAGGGCCUCAAAUCCAGACACAGUGUCUCUAACAGGGGGCCCUCUGCCUGUCCUGAAAUGAAAGCUCCACCCAGGGGACCAGCAAACCUGUCGCUUUCAGGAGGGCCUCCUGCCACCAGCUUUUAAACCCUGUUUAUCAGCCUCUGACCCCAGAGUAAUCUCAACUUCCUUGUACUCAGUUCAGAAGAUGUUUGCUAUUCAGGAUUCUGAUGCCAAGGUGUGAUAAGAGCAGCCUCAGGCCUUCUGAGUUCCUAAACCAACAGAGUCCAAGGAUUUGAAAACUGAGAAGCGUGAGGACAGCCACGCCCUGAGAGGUGACCCGGCACCAGCUCCCGUCUCCUGAAAUCUCCCAAGAUAUUUAGAAAUAGGUGUUAGUGGGACUGUACUACCUUCAA